rnacentral:siRNA from 1 species
GAUUAACUUCCCUAUACACGUGA